UUAAGCAGAGUAGAUACCUACUUCCUUAGAGAUCAAAGCUCUAUGUGCAAACACCUCAGCUUA
rnacentral:tRNA from 1 species